AUUUUGUCUUCUUGAUUUUUAUUCUAGAUGUACCUCUGGAAUAAUAUUAUCUUCUCCAUUACACCUCGAACAUUGGUGAUCUGGAUAUUUAUGUCCAAAGACUCUUUUUAAGAAUAACUUUUCUUUGUUAUAUGUUAAGGUUAAUUGUGUAUGUUCUAUGUUAUAUGGUUUUACUUGUUCUAACCAUUUUAUUCCUAAUAUUAUAUCUGCUUUUUGCAUUUCUUCCUUUACUUCGAAUUCUAUUUUUAUUUUUCUAACUCCUAUUAUUAUUUCUUUUUCUGCUAUAUUUUUAUUAUUUAUUAAACUUCUUGGUAGAUCUGAGCACAUAUCAUUAUCAGUCUUUAUUUCUUCAUUUUUUACUAGAUAUUUUGCUAUAUGAUUUUCUUCUUGUCCUGUAUUCAAAAGUAUU
rnacentral:lncRNA from 1 species